GUACUAUUCUAUGUAGGUUUGUAACAAAAACCCCGCCUCUGGUCUUCACUGGCUGCUUGUGAACAGAUGGAGUUGAAACUCUGACAGCGGUAGACCAAUCACAGCAGACUGGGACAUCUGACCAAUCAGAGCAGAGCAUGCUUUCUUAAAGGAGGAGUUUAGAAUGAAUCUUUUAGAACGGAUCAUUUAACAAGUCAUUUUUGACACUGGGGAGGAAAAAAGGUAAUGCUGCAGUUUAAAUUAUGAGCACAUUAAAGUGAUUUUUGAACUUGGAUGCAUGUAAAUCUAUUGUAUGAGACCUUUAAAACAAAAUUAGGCACGUUUCAAAACCAUAAUAGGUGCACUUUAAGGGUUCCUAUAGCGCGUUAGACUUAAUAACUGUCUCCAAAAUUUAUCAGCUUAAAUAUGGCUUGUAGAUUAAAAAGGCUGUAACAAAACUGUUUGUCUUUUUUUUUGUUGUUGUUUCGACAAAACUGUGAGGAACAACUUAAAAUUUAACCUUACUCUACUCACUUUCUCCUCUCGGGCUAAUCUAAUCAGUCCAUACAGGAUUUAGAGGGGUUUUUUUUGUGAUUGUUGCGGCAAAAAAUGCUUGAUUUUGCUGUGCCGUUGUCAUGACGUCACUUGUCACGUCUUGGCCCAAAUCUGUGGUAAUUUUGAAAAAUCGCAAGCUCCGAAUAUUGUGCGGUGUGCUUGAUUUUGCAUUCGUUUCUGCGAUCACAAAAUCGCGAAAUCCUUGAGGGACUGAUGAAUGAUUAUUGCCUUUGACUAUAACAAUAACCAAGGUAAAAUGACUUUGCUCAUUUUAUAGAAAAGAUAGACAAGAUUGAAAUUCGAAGAUUUAAAGAGAUCUUUCCCUUUACCUCUUUAUCUAAAUUGUAUUAUAUCACAUGGAUGUUUCAUCCUCAUUCAUCUCAGCAAGCUAAAAUUAAACAGGUGAAACAUGACAGGCCUCAUUAAAUGAUGAAUUUGUUGUGUAUAUUCUACUACCGCAUCGGGCGGAAAAAUCAUGUCCCUUCCAUGAAAUAUAACACGAGGCUGUAAUGUCAAUAGUUGAGGAGAUUUGACAUGUUCUCAGUCGCUUUUGUUUGUGCAUCUCUUCAGUGUGCUGCCAUGACGGACAUCUCCGCUUUACACAGGCCAUAUUGUACAUUUACUGUUUUUAAGGUGAAACGUCAGUGUUUUUUACAUAUUGCUUGUUGAUUUCUUUAUCGUUGCCGCCAAGCCUCGCCUGUCUGCGAGAGAGAUGGUCACACUUCACGUGAACUCGAAACGGUUAGUGUUCUUGUUAUUUAAGCUAGAGUUCUGUAUGUUGCAAGUGAAAUCAGUCGAUUUGCUUUUUCUCUAAAGCUCUUUACAGCGCUGUGUGGUGCGGUUGUAGCUGCGCUGCUGCAGCCUCCAGAGGCUUCGAUGAGUAGACUCUAAUCGUUUCUGUUGUUGGUUAAGAAAGUCCACUUUGAUAAUUGUUCAUAAUGUAAGUGAUUGUUAACAAAUCAUUGCAGCCCUAAUUAGAUAUGCUAGACGGGCCCUUGGGUUAGGGAACCAAACACCCCCCCCCCCCCCCCCCCCCCCAACAGCCCCUAUCAGAAGUUUUACCUGGGUUUUCCCAGAACAGCAUUAAUAUACAUAUUGUAUAAUUCAUUUCAGCAGCAUAUUAACCUAAUACAUAUGCAGUGUUAUUGACAGUAUGGGAUUCCAUGUCGCAGCAGGGAUAUGUUCAUGGUAACGUACAUUAACUUAAUGUGGCUCAACGUACAAAUGGAACAAGUCUUAGUAAUAGUUCAUCAGAAGGCUGGGAAUUACAUGAAUGGUUUGCUUGAAGUAGCUGAAGCACAUGACUCUAAUGCUGGUGGUAGGUGUCAUUGUAAACGAAAUGUAUGUAUGUGAGUGUAAUCAGUGUAAAUUAUAAUGCUAAGAGGUCUGCCUUAAAAGACACUCAAUCGUUUUUCAUGUAUUUUCUACACCUCGUCUAUUGAUCAAUUUCCCGUUUGAAUUCAAGUAUUUUAUUUUAUUUUUUUGUCUUAAUGCAUCACGUUGUCAGAGUGUAUCAACUAAUAAAACAUGUUUGGUAAUGAUUUAGUGUGUAUUCGUGUAGUUCCAUUUUUUUAUGGUUGUUUUAGUUUAAUAUUUAGUUUCCUGAAUUUUGUUUUGUUCCAUCUGUUCGGAAGUGAUCGUGAUUUGCAGUAUUUAAUAAA
ensembl:lncRNA